CCUACGGGAGGCAGCAGUGAGGAAUAUUGGUCAAUGGGCGAGAGCCUGAACCAGCCAAGUAGCGUGCAGGAUGACGGCCCUAUGGGUUGUAAACUGCUUUUAUAAGGGAAUAAAGUUAGUCUCGUGAGACUUUUUGCAUGUACCUUAUGAAUAAGGACCGGCUAAUUCCGUGCCAGCAGC
rnacentral:rRNA from 1 species